rnacentral:rRNA from 1 species
AUGGCAGGUGCGAGAUGCUACGCUCUCCUUGUCGUUGCCAUUGUCCUGACGGCCCAGCUAUGCGGAUGCACGGCGUACGUCGGCCGCGAUGGGUUUACCGUGGAGUUCAUCCACCGGGACUCCGUCCAGUCGCCGUUCCACGACCCGUCGCUCACCUCGCACGGCCGCCUACUUGCCGCCGUGCGGCGUUCCGCGGCGCGCGCCUCAGCUCUCGCGCGCUCCUACGCCGGCGGCUCCCCUCACGGCGCCGUGUCGGAGGUCGUCCACGGGCAGUUCGAGUACCUGAUGCACGUCAACGUGGGCACGCCGGCCACCAGGGUGCUCGCCAUCGUCGACACCGGCAGCAACCUCGUCUGGUUUAAGUGCACCAACGUCCGUACCGCAGCGACGACGACUCCAGCAGCAAUCGCCGGUGGCGCGAGCCUUGUGUUCAACCCGUCGUCCUCGUCGACGUUCGGCCGCGUGUACUGCCAGUCCGGCACGUGCCACAAGCUCCCCGGCACCUCCUGCGAUGCCAGCUCCAGAUGCAAGUACGCCCAAUCCUACGUCGACGGCUCGAAGACAACCGGCCUCCUCUCCACCGAGAGUUUGAUCUUCGACGAUGGCCCCGGCGGCUGCGUCGGGUGCCGCCAGCGUCGGCAGCUGCUCGUGCCCAAUUUCAGCUUCGGCUGCUCCACGGCUACGGCCGGCACGUUCCGCGCGGACGGCGUCGUCGGUCUCGGCAGCGGCGACUUCUCCCUCAUCACACAGAUCGGCGCCGGCACCUCGCUCGGCCGGAGGUUCUCCUACUGCCUCGCGCCCUACUACGUCAACGCCUCCUCCCCGCUCAACUUCGGCGCCCGUGCCGCCGUGACGGAGCCGGGCGCGGCGACGACGGCGCUGCUCCGCCCCGACCCGCGCAAGCCGCUCUACACCGUCGUGCUCGAGUCCGUCAGGAUCGGGAACGCGAGGUUUGAGCACCUGUCCAACGUCAUCAUCGACUCCGGCACGACGCUGACGUUCCUGGACAAGGUUCUGCUGGACCCGAUAAUGGAGGAGAUGACACGGCGCAUUCACUUCGUGCGGAAGCGGCCGCCGAACAGGCAGCUGCAGCUCUGCUACAGCGUGCUCGGGCCGAGUGGUAAAUUUUACUUCUACAAGUUUGUCCCGGACUUGACGCUGAAUCUGGCCGUCUUCGCGGAGGCGGUGACGCUGAAGCCGGAGAACCUGUUCGUCGAGGUGCAGAUAGGGACCAUGUGCUUGAUGAUGGCGCCGGUGACGCCGCAGCAGCCGGUGGCCAUCAUUGGGAACAUCGCGCAGCAGAACUUUCACGUCGGCUACGACCUUGACAAGGGCACCGUCACCUUCGCCCCUGCGGACUGCGCGAGAUCCUACCGCUCGUCCUCCGCCUCCGUGUAG